rnacentral:rRNA from 1 species
AGAGUUUGAUCCUGGCUCAGGACGAACGCUGGCGGCGCGCCUAACACAUGCAAGUCGAACGGGGUAUUACUACUUAAUCCUUCGGGAAGCGGUGGUGAUACCUAGUGGCGGACGGGUGAGUAACACGUGAGGAACCUGCCUUACAGAGGGGGAUACCGUCUGGAAACGGACGUUAAUACCGCAUGACAUAUACGGACCGCAUGGUCUGUAUAUCAAAGAUUUAUCGCUGAAAGGUGGCCUCGCGUCUGAUUAGAUAGUUGGUGAGGUAACGGCCCACCAAGUCGACGAUCAGUAGCCGGACUGAGAGGUUGAACGGCCACAUUGGGACUGAGAUACGGCCCAGACUCCUACGGGAGGCAGCAGUGGGGAAUAUUGGGCAAUGGGGGAAACCCUGACCCAGCAACGCCGCGUGAAGGAAGAAGGCUUUCGGGUUGUAAACUUCUUUUACCAGGGACGAAGAAAGUGACGGUACCUGGAGAAAAAGCCACGGCUAACUACGUGCCAGCAGCCGCGGUAAUACGUAGGUGGCAAGCGUUAUCCGGAUUUACUGGGUGUAAAGGGCGUGUAGGCGGGCUAGCAAGUCAGAUGUGAAAACUAUGGGCUCAACCCAUAGCCUGCAUUUGAAACUGUUGGUCUUGAGUGCUGGAGAGGCAAUCGGAAUUCCGUGUGUAGCGGUGAAAUGCGUAGAUAUACGGAGGAACACCAGUGGCGAAGGCGGAUUGCUGGACAGUAACUGACGCUGAGGCGCGAAAGCGUGGGGAGCAAACAGGAUUAGAUACCCUGGUAGUCCACGCCGUAAACGAUGGAUACUAGGUGUGGGGGGUCUGACCCCCUCCGUGCCGCAGUUAACACAAUAAGUAUCCCACCUGGGGAGUACGAUCGCAAGGUUGAAACUCAAAGGAAUUGACGGGGGCCCGCACAAGCGGUGGAGUAUGUGGUUUAAUUCGAUGCAACGCGAAGAACCUUACCUGGUCUUGACAUCCCGAUGACAAGCUGUGUAAAGCAGCCUCUCUUCGGAGCAUCGGUGACAGGUGGUGCAUGGUUGUCGUCAGCUCGUGUCGUGAGAUGUUGGGUUAAGUCCCGCAACGAGCGCAACCCUUGUCUUUAGUAGCCAGCAUUUAGGAUGGGCACUCUAGAGAGACUGCCAGGGAUAACCUGGAGGAAGGUGGGGAUGACGUCAAAUCAUCAUGCCCCUUAUGAUUUGGGCUACACACGUGCUACAAUGGCGUAAACAAAGAGAAGCGAGGGAGUGAUCCGGAGCAAAUCUCAAAAAUAACGUCUCAGUUCGGAUUGUAGUCUGCAACUCGACUACAUGAAGCUGGAAUCGCUAGUAAUCGCGAAUCAGAAUGUCGCGGUGAAUACGUUCCCGGGUCUUGUACACACCGCCCGUCACACCAUGGGAGUAGGUAAUGCCCGAAGUCGGUGACCUAACCGUAAGGAAGGAGCCGCCGAAGGCAGGACUUAUAACUGGGGUGAAGUCGUAACAAGGUAGCCGU